UCCAAGAGAAAAGCUGAUGACAACCUGAUGUUACUACACACCAUUCUCUAUGGGAAGAAAGCAAAGGCACAGAUGGUUAAGAGAAACAUUGGUCAAUUUUCUGGCUUUGCAUGGUCAGAGAAUGAGGAGGAGAAGCAGAGAGCAAAAA